rnacentral:rRNA from 1 species
CCUUUAAAAUCUAACAUGAGCUGAGUUCAGAACGGCGUGAGCUAGUUCAGUUUCUAUCCUCUUUUAAAAAUGAGCUAAUUUUGUACGAAAGGACUUUUUCGCUAAAGCAACGCUUUGCCCUGGCUCUGUCAUUGCUUAAAUAAUGCUACGCAAUAAACUGAUUAGUUUAUAAAAAGGGUUG